rnacentral:lncRNA from 1 species
UCCACGUAUCCCUGGUAAUAGCAGUGAUCCUGGACAUCUGGGUAUUCAGAUUGCAACUUCCCCUCCUUAUUAUAGGUAUAAACUGUAAAAUCUUUGGGUAGCAAAUCUUUGUUCUUUUCCAGGUGGAUUGUGUAUUCUUUUCCUUCUAUCUCAAUAGCAUAUGACACCUUGUCCUGUGUUGAGGAGGCAUUGGAGGUCUCUCGCCGCUCUCUUCCUAACUUCUGUGGGAUUAUAACUUCAUAGGAAGACAACUGGGAUAUCUCCUGGAAACCCGCAGGGCCCGGCAGCGCGGGCGCGGCCAGCAACAGCAGCAGGAGGAGGAGGCGGCAGAGGCAGCUCCGCGCCGCCCGAGCCAUCGUGCCCCGCGUCGGCCCUGCGCUGCCCGCGGCCGUGCGGCUCUCGGAGCGGGCAGAGCGCUGGGCUUAUGCAGCCGGGCCGGGGCCUGCGCCGCGCCGCACCGCCCCCGGGCGG